GAAGAAUGCUCGACUUGCGGGCAAGAUACACAACCUAUCGCGGAAAAACUAUAAGGAAACCGAUCAACUCUUCGGUCACCGACACCUUCAUGCAUUGCCACUUUUAGGAGAUUGGAUCCACGGAGCCGAUUCAAGCGUUCGAAUUGUAGCAGUGAACAGCCAUGGCCUCGCAUACGCUGGAGUCCAGAAUGAGCCACUCUAACCCAYUUCUUCUGUAUACACUCUUAAACUUUUUCUUCUCCACCUAUUUCUAAUUAGAUAUUCUUGGCAGGUGAAUGGCGUGGGCGUGGAAARAAGGCUCGGAAGUCAUACGGAUUCGGAAGCGGCACGGGCACGAAGAAUGCUCGACUUGCGGGCAAGAUGAGCAACCUCUCGCGGCAAUACUAUAAGGAAGCCGAUCAACUCUUUGAUGAUUGAUGAGAACAUGGACGACACACUGGCAAAUGAGAACUCAACCUCAACAUUAUCUCAUCCAACCGGUGGCUGAUGAUUAAGAUAAUCUUUGUAUUGAUUGUAUUCCUCAUGAUUUUCCUAUUUUUUUGGGGCAUAACAUUAUAUCAAGAAUAACUGAAAAGAAGAAAUAGAAAGAAAGUGCCUUUUCAAAGGCCACGGGCCUUACACCGUCAAGUGAUCAAGUCUCAUCCAACAUUUCAAAAAUUAUAUUUGCAGUUUUGCACUGCCUUGUACAUAACAUC